rnacentral:lncRNA from 1 species
UAUAUUUAAUGAAGGAUCGUCAAUAUGUACUAUUAAUUAAGUUAAACGUAUAUAUUAAUCAGAACGGAAUAGAUAUGAAAAUACCAAACAGGAUGUACUGCUUAAUCAAAGGGAUACGCUGGGCAAUGCAUAUUGUUAAUAUUUUUUUUAUAAUAAUACGGAUUGUACUACGUUAUUUAAUUCACCAGUCAGAUGUUAUGGUACAAUAUUCAUAAUUCUACGAACUUUUCAUCAUGUAUAUUAUAAUUAUCAUGAUUAAAUAACCAGUAAAUUUAAUAUUUUUGUACAUAAAAUUUUGAAGCUAAAACGCC